ensembl:lncRNA
UCAAAUGCAGCACAAAGAGUUCUUUAUUGGGAACUUGGAACAAAGGCUCGUGACAGAUGACAAAAAAUCAGGAGAAAUGAUCAACUGGGAAAAAAACCUUCAGUCCUUUUUCUGCUUGAGGACAUUUCAUGGUGAGUUGCAGGGCCAUGUCAGAAAGUACUACCACUACUGAAUUCUUGUGAGUUCUGAUGCCGAAAUAAUUUACAGAGAUUUUUAAUGUAAAAUAUCCUAAGCAGAAUGGAAGCGUUACUACUUUUGCCAUGAAACUGCAUGAAGGUUUGAUAAUGACUCAAACUUUAGUUAGUUUUCUUGCAGCAAGGCCAUCUGACUUUCCCGUCUCUUUGUGAAUGCGGUGGUGGCAUUGGUUGUAGCAGCAUGGCACAUACCCCUCUGUUGAUUGUCAGGCAUUAAAUCAACCACUAGACCUGACUGGGAGCACAGCUCUGCUAACGUGGCAGUUUCAGCCGUUCCUGGGUGUCCUGUUCGAUCAUGAAGACCCCAUCUUCCUCCACUUGCCCAGGCCAUGAUUUGGUCUAGGUGGACACGGGUUGGACAGUGGGACUAGGUGAUCUCAGUCUUCUUUCCAGCCUUAAUGAUUCUUUGAUUCUAGGACAAACAGACAUCUGGAGAAUGGACAAACAGUAUUUACUCAGGUUUCCUCCCAGAAGAAAAGAUUAGAACCUGAUGACCUGAUGAACCUGUCCCUCCUCACCCAAGUCACUCUAUGAUUCUAUGGAUGAUCAGCAUGCAAACUGGUGGAGGGGUGAGGCUCCAUGACCCGCCGUUGCCACAUCCAACACACUGCUCCUACUGGAGGAAGCUGCAACACAGAAAGAUGUUUCUAAAGCAGAACGUGGGCAUGGAGAGACCCUGUACUCAGUUAAAACAGACUGAAUUCACAAAGAACAAGAUAAGUCCCACCUAUGAUCUAGAACCUGGAGACAGGUAGAAGAUGGGAGAGAAAGGAGACGCCCCCUGGUACUUCAUAUUUUAUGAAGGGCACAACAACUUCUGAAAGGAUUCCUUUCCAGGAAAUCCUGGGGGAAGAUCUGGGAGUGAUUUAGGGAAGAGUCAAUCAUGUGUGCUGUCCUUGCAAAACCAUUUCCCACG